CAAGAAGAACCAACAGCCUCCUCAUCCACUAGUGAUUUCAAAAUUUUGCACUUUCUUAUCUCUAUUCUUCUGAGAUUUUGGGGAAUCUGGAAUUUUGCAAAAUAUAUCAACGAAUCGCACUCUGUAAUCAGGAUGUCUUUAAGAGAAGGUGGCAGACCAACAUCUGUAAAAGAAACUAGACUUGAACAUUCGUGUAUGCGAAGCUCUUGAAGAGACGACAGCUGAUUUAACCCUUUUGGUAGCUUCAAAAGAUUUUCGCACUUUCUUAACUUUAGAAAUUCAAGCUUGCAAUCCAAUAUUUGCAAUUGCAGCAACUCCUCUGCUUCUUCUCCCAAUUCUUCAACUAGACGAGAGUUGUCUUCAAUUUCCAAACGGCCAAGAGAAGUCAACCACUGCAAUAAUCUAGCCUCAUUCUUCAGUGAAGACGUCAGCUUCUCACAUCCAUUGAUCUUCAAAUCUCUAACCUUGCUUAGUCCCUUUCUGAACAAUUCCCCUGUUGGCCGAGACAUCACCUCCGAAAUGUUUGAAAUGCACAAGGACUCUAAUAACUCAAACUCAACCUUAGCAGCCGUAUGUUCCAACACUUUACAACCGUCAAUGUUUAGCUGACGAAGCUGUUUGUAGUUGGCAAUCGAAACCGUCAAUUCCUCACAUUUAACAAUUUCAAGUUUGGCUAACAAAUCGAGCUUCUCUGGCAGUUUACCUUCCAACUUAGAACAUUCCUUGAUUGAAAGCCUUUUUAGGCAAGGGAAAACACCACUUCCGUGAUCCAGUUGGAAAGGAAGCCACACCUUCCAAUGCCGCAUAUUCACAAACUUGAGAAUCUCUAACAGCGGAAAAGGCAUGACACACUCACCAUAAAACUCAGCACCAACACUUUCGACUGCAUUCAUUCCUCUAAUAUAAAGCUCUUUGAGACGAGGCAAUUGUCCGAGAGGUGGCAACGAUAAACAAUUGUUACAUUCCUCUAAGCGCACAAGCACCAUAUUAGAGAACAAUGGACCUCCAACCCAUGAUGAAAAUUCCUCUCUGGCAUAACCCGUGAUGGUGAGCUCCUUGAGCUUUGUAUGAGGCUGUAACAUGUCAAGCACAGCGGAUUCUGUUUCUCUCGUGUCGCUUGAAUAAUACCAUUUUAGGACCAGUGAAUCAAGCCUCUCCUUGCAUUUCAAGUUGGCCCUCCUGGCAUCCUCGACAUUAGUCACAUUCUCCAAUCCUGAGAGGCACAAUGUCCCUCGGAGAUGCAAUAGGGGCCCUAUCUCUCUUAUCCCUGAAUGAUCACUUCCUUCGCUCACCACAAAAAGAGGCAGUGAUUGUAGAUUUGUCAAUCGACCUAGUUGCGAAGGCAUUCCUUUCAACGAAGAUGCAUAUGAGUUGUUGAGAUGGCGCAAAUUAAUUAGAUUACUCAUGUUCGCGGGCAAUGACUUCAAUUGAGAACAACCUUCCAAUAUCAAUGUUUGCAAGUGGUAAAGAGUGCUUGUUGAUUUAGGCAAACUGGCUAUAUAUGUAUAGGAAAGGUCAAGAUACUGUAACAACCUCAAAUCACCGAUUGACUCUGGCAGCUCAGUUAUUUUGUAGCCAUUGAACGAGAGCACUCGUAAGUAUUGCAACUGUGGUAAUAGCUCAAAAGUAACCUUACGAGGCAAAUAUGUGUGCCAUACCCUGGAAUUUGAAAGUGAAAGUGGCAGGAAUGUUCGCAAAUGUUCAGCUUUUGGAAAGGCCUCAAAUCUCGUAAAUCCAUCAAAUUGACCAGCAAUGAAAGACGAAUGGCGAGCCCUUCGAAAGCAAGUGCUUGGCAAGUUAUCACCUCGCUUAUCUUCCAACCUAAAACAUAUUUCACCUGCUGCCCAUUGUGCUAAAUCAUUAACGAGGUCAUGCAUUACAUAUCGUGAAUUGUUUUUGCUUGAUUCUUGAAACAAUGACCUUGCUAAUAGCUCUCGAAAGUAGUCGCGGCCCAAGUCCUCCAUUUGUUUAUUGUCAUCAUGUUUUUGUUGAAUCAAACCCUCUGCCAUCCACAAAAGAAUGAGCUGCUUCUCCCCAAAUUCAUAGUCAUUUGGAAGUAUUGAGCAAUAUGCAAAACACCUCUUCAAAUUUGAUGGAAGAUAGUGAUAGCUCAACUUUAGUACGGGGAGAAUGCCACUCUUGUCUGCUAGAUUCCAUAACUUGUUGUUCAAUAUUUCUCCCCACUCAUCUUUUUCUUUGCAACGUAAAAGACCACCGAGAGUCCUUGCAGCUAAUGGUAAGCCACGACAUUUUUCAACAAUUCUUGUCUUAAUUAAACCAUAAUUUACCGGCUUUCCAUUAUUAAUUCCCCUGAACGCAUGUCGCUCAAAUAUUUCCAAACAAUCACCAUCUGCCAUACACUCCAAAUUAUGAACUCCAGUGGCUCCCAUAAUCUUUGCAACAUUCACAUCACGGGUUGUCACAAUAAUCUUACUUCCUCCUGCUCCGAUGCCAAAAGGGGAUUGAAGUCUUGUCCAGAGAUCGUAUAGAUCAGAGUCAUCUUUGUUCCAGAUAUCAUCUAAAACGAUUAAAAACUUUUUUCCUCUUAAUUGCUCACUCAAAUCAUGCUGCAUUUUACUAAACCCCUCCACUUGGACGGGUCGGGAUGUGAUUGAUUCAAGAAUUUCCUUUGUCACUCGCACAACAUUGAAGUCAUCAGACACAGAUACCCACACCUUUAGCUCAAACUCCUUCAUGGCAUCAUUUUUGUGGUUGAAUACAAGUUGAGCAAGUGUCGUCUUCCCAACUCCGGGCAUGCCAACUAUAGCAACUACACCAAAAUCGGUAGACUUUUUCAACAAUUCAAUAAUCUUCCCUUUGUCACCAUCUCUUCCAACAACAAGCUUUUCAUCUAACACACCUGAACUUGGUAAACUUCGAGAUUCCUUAGCAGACGUCCCAGUAUCUUUCAAGCCAAACUUAUCUUUCCGUUCAGAUAUGUCUUGCAACCGCUUCGUAAUCUUCUUCAUUUCGGAGUUCAUAUCAAAACUCAAUUUAACUUUAUAAAAUGAUCUCCGUACCUUCCUGCUUGUGCUGGCUUGAUCACGUCCCUCUAUCAUGCGCUUCAACAUUUUAACGGCAAAUUUGUCCAACAUGUCUUCGAUAUCAUAGGCCAGGUCUCUGAGAUCAUCCAGCCACAGUUUCACACCACCUUCAGUCAGUUGCCUUUCCUCGGCGUCGCUCAGCACCGCUCCGAUUGUAGACAACGUGGUCCUCCACCUCUCCAGCUUCUGUCCGACCCCCCGGACGUUUCCAACGUACUCAAGAAUCUCGCGAGGGGUCAACCUGUCGAGCAGCAACUGUAGAAACGCCGCAAGAAAAACCUCUCCCAGUGCCAUAUUAAGAGUGAGGAUUACUCCAAGCAGUUAAAGAAAGACCGAAUCGCUCUUGAGCAAUAUUGAGGUGCAGAACUGUACAAAUUAAGUGAAGAAACAAAUGAAUAAAAAGUGGUUCAAAUAAAAUGAAAAACAACUAAUGUAUUAUUCGAAUAAACAAUAAGAACUUACAUGGAAGUUCAAAUCUAACUCUGCUUGUGAUCAACAAAAGACUCGAUGAAGGGAAGAUCAACAGUCAAAUACUAGUUCCUUGGAAAUUUGGAAGCUUGAUCUGUCGAGACUCAGAAAUAGUCACAACAACAACAACAACAACAACAACAAAGCCUUUUCCCACUAAGUGGGGUCGGCUAUAUGAAUCCUAGAACGCCAUUGCGCUCGGUUUUGUGUCAUGUCCUCCGUUAGAUCCAAGUACUCUAAGUCUUUUCUUAGAGUCUCUUCCAAAGUUUUCCUAGGUCUUCCUCUACCCCUUUGGCCCUGAACCUCUGUCCCGUAGUCACAUCUUCGAACCGGAGCGUCAGUCGGCCCUCUUUGCACAUGUCCAAAUCAUCGGAGCCGAUUUUCUCUCAUCUUUCCUACAAUUUCGGCUACUCCUACUUUACCUCGGAUAUCCUCAUUCCCAAUCUUAUCCUUUCUCGUGUGCCCACACAUCCCACGAAGCAUCCUCAUCUCCGCUACACCCAUUUUGUGUACGUGUUGAUGCUUCACCGCCCAACAUUCUGUGCCAUACAACAUCGCUGGCCUUAUUGCCGUCCUAUAAAAAAUUUUCCCUUGAGCUUCAGUGGCCUACGACGGUCACACAACACGCCGGAUGCACUCUUACACUUCAUCCAUCCAGCUCGUAUUCUAUGGUUGAGAUCUCCAUCUAAUUCUCCGUUCUCUUGCAAGAUAGAUCCUAGGUAGCGAAAACGGUCGCUUUUUGUGAUCUUCGCUAGAUUGCUCCGGUCAUUAGUGUGGAUAAGUAUAUAAAUGGAUAGAGAUAGGAAAGCAAACACAAGAUGUACGUGGUUCACCCAGAUUGGCUACGUCCACAGAAUAGAAGAGUUCUCAUUAAUUGUGAAGGGUUUACACAAGUACAUAGGUUCAAGCUCUCCUUUAGUGAGUACAAGUGAAUGAUUUUGUACAAAUGACAUUAGGAAAUAUUGUGGGAGAAUGAUCUCGUAAUCACGAAACUUCUAAGUAUCGGAGUGUGGUGUCGUCUUGACUUGCCUUAUCUGUCUCAUAGGUAGAUGUGGCAUCUUCUCUGAAAGUACUCUUCCUCCAUCCAGGGGUGGUAUCUUUAACUGGUGGAGAUGCACAAGGUAAUGUAUCAAUUUCACUUGAAGCUUACUUGUAGUCUCAGGCUUGGUCAAGCGCGAUACAAACCAUGUAGUAGGAGUCCCCCAAGUCGCCGAGCUAGGGGGUCUGCUGAAAGAGGUGACAGACAAGGUAAGCAAUCAGAGCUCCGACUGAUUGUUCACCUUCUCCCCAUCUUGCAGCAGCAUGAAGGAUAAAGAGAAGAAAAAUGAGAAGAGAUGAUAUGAGAUACUUUUGCUUUUGAAGAAGUAACUUUCCACAGGCUUAUUCUUGAACUGAGCUGGAGGGUUUUCUGGUUUCCUCCAGAGUAUAAGGCCGACUGAAGAAUUUGAGGGUCAAAACAAGUCCAUCAAAUCUAGAGUACGUUCCACCCUACUGAUAUGGGAUACUUUUGCUUUUGACAGAGUAAUGGGUGUAUCGGCACGUGUGCUGUUACGCUUGUCUCCACAUGCUUCCUUGUAUCCUUCGCACUUGCCCUAUCUGUUCCUCAAGCAGAUGCAGAAUCUUCCCUGGAAACAUAAGAUGUUGAAGAUGAGUACUCGAGAGCAAUGCCAGGUAAGUAAUCAGGUAAGGGGUUCCAGGCAGUCAGUUCCUGGCUGGAAGCUUGAUUCCAAGUGCUGACUGAUUGCUCUCUUUCUCCUUGUCUUGCAGGUAAAAACAAGGCCAAAGGAAAAGACAGGGAAAAAGCAUGAUAUGAGAUACUCUUGCUUUUAACCCUGAUGAUAUGAGAUAUUCUUGCUCUAGUAUAGCUUGUUUGCAGAGGUAUUAUUAUCGGGGGGAAAGAAAGCUGAAUAUUUCGAAAGGCUUCGUUGGGAGUGCCCUCUCAGAUAUGAUGAAGGGUUGAGCAUUUUUGCAGGUCUGCCUGUCCGUUGGGGAUGGAGGUCGACAUAUAUAGGAGUCUCCCUAACAACAAGUAGUAAUGCUAUUCCUUUACCCUGCUUGGUCAUAGCACGGUAGUGGGAGCUGCCAGUUGCAAUGGUACUGUUCCUUUACCCUCUCUCUUCGCUUUUGAGAAAGUAGUCAUGUUGGGAGUCUGGCUCUCGAGAUUCGGAGGACGGUGCCUCUUCGAUUUUGGAGCAAGCAAUCUUGUUGGGAGUGUUUUCUCGAAAGUGAGUAAAGGUUGGGCAUGUUUGCUAGUCUACCUUGCCACGAAGCACAGAGGUUGACACACACAAGGACUUUCCAAUUAUCCAGCAGUGGUACUGUUCCUUUACCCUUGUGGGUAAUAAUAUGGUAGCUAGACCUUCAACAUUUAUGUGUCUAAACUUUGUUAGUGCUGUUUCUUUGCUAUUCUUUUACCUUUCUUGGUCAGAGCGAUGUAGUGGGAGCUGCAAGCUUCACGUGCUCAACUUUGGCAGAGAACUUUGGCAAAGUUAUCUGUGGUACCCAUGAGCUAUUGUUGCGUGUGGGAAGUGGGUGAUUGAACAGUAAGAUUCAUGUGCUUUCUACUUCACCAGAAGUCUUCGACAGAAUGCCCAUAAUUUCUGCAAAGCUGAGUGUGCGUGUGACAGGUGCUGACAAGGCUAGAAAAGUAGGUGCCUCUUCGAUUUCUGAGAUCGGCCCUCGUGGUCUCUGAGCAGCCCAGCUUUUGAGAAAGCGAGCGCCUCUUCGAUUGAUUCGGAGAACGAUGCCUCAUCGAUUUUUGAGAAAGCAAUCAUGCUGGGGGUCUGGCUCUCGAAGAUUCGGGGAGCAGUGUCUCUUCGAUUUUUGAGAAAGUAAUCACGUUGGGAGUCUGGCUCUCGAGAUUCGAAGGGUGGUGCCUCUUCGAUUUUGGAGCAAGCAAUCUUGUUGGGAGUGUUUUCUCGAAUGUGAGUAAAGGUUGGGCAUGUUUGCUAGUCUACCUUGCCACGAAGCACAAAGGUUGACACACAGAGACUUUCCAAUUAUCCAGCAAUGGUACUGUUCCUUUACCCUCUCUUCGAUUUUUAAGAAAGUAGUCAUGUUGGGAGUCUGGCUCUCGAGAUUCGGAGGACGGUGCCUCUUCGAUUUUGGAGCAAGCAAUCUUAUUGGGAGUGUUUUCUCGAAUGUGAGUAAAGGUUGGGCAUGUUUGCUAGUCUACCUUGCCACGAAGCACAGAGGUUGACACACAGGGACUUUCCAAUUAUCCAGCAGUGGUACUGUUCCUUUACCCUUGUGGGUAAUAAUAUGGUAGCUAGACCUUCAAAAUUUAUGGGUCUAAACUUUGUUAGUGCUGUUUCUUUGCUAUUCUUUUACCCUUCUUUGGUCAGAGCGAUGUAGUGGGAGCUGCAAGCUUCACGUGCUCAACUUUGGCAGAGAACUUUGGCAAAGUUAUCUGUGGUACCCAUGAGCUAUUGUUGCGUGUGGGAAGUGGGUGAUUGAACAGUAAGAUUCAUGUGUUUUCUACUUCCCCAGAAGUCUUCGACAGAAUGCCCAUAAUUUCUGCAAAGCUGAGUGUGCGUGUGACGGGUGCUGACAAGGCUGGAAAAGUAGGUGCCUCUUCGAUUUCUGAGAUUGGCCCUCGUGGUCUCUAGGGAGCCCAGCUUUUGAGAAAGCGAGCGCCUCUUCGAUUUCUGAGAUCGGCCUUCGUGGUCUUUGAGCAGCCCAACUUUUGAGAAAGCAAAUGCCUCUUCGAUUUCUGAGAUCAACCCUCGUGAUCUCUAAGCAGCCCAGCUUUUGAGAAAGCAAACGCCUCUUCGAUUUCUGAGCAGGCGCCUCUUCGAUUUCUGAAGCUCCGUCGAGUGCAGAUUUUUAUAGAGGCUGACAUUAAGUUCCAAAGCACACUUGAAUCUCCACCAGUAGAAGCUUCAUUCUUGCACUUCUAAGAUCUUGAUUUGUCCGACCUCUUCUCUCUUCAACACCUUUGAAAAUGUCUGGCCCCUCCGACCGUCGUUUUGACUUGAACCUUGUUGAAGAGGCAGCCCCGCCUUCUCCAGACAACAUAUGGCGCCCAUCCUUCGUCUCCCCUACUGGUCCUCUUACCGUUGGGGAUUCCGUGAUGAAGAAUGAUAUGACCGCUGCGGUGGUGGCCAGGAACCUUCUCACUCCCAAGAGAUAACAGACUACUUUCCAAACGGUCUGAUGAGUUAGCUGUUAAGGAUUCGCUGGCUCUCAGUGUUCAGUGUGCAGGUUCUGUGUCUAAUAUGGCCCAACGCCUAUUUGCUCGAACCCGCCAAGUUGAAUCCUUGGCGGCUGAAGUGAUGAGUCUCAAACAGGAGAUUAGAGGGCUCAAGCAUGAGAAUAAACAGUUGCACCGGCUCGCACAUGACUAUGCUACAAACAUGAAGAGGAAGCUUGACCAGAUGAAGGAAACUGAUGGUCAGGUUUUACUUGAUCAUCAGAGAUUUGUGGGUUUGUUCCAAAGGCAUUUAUUGCCUUCGUCUUCUGGGGCUGUACCGCGUAAUGAAGCUCCGAAUGAUCAACCUCUGAUGCCUCCUCCUUCUAGGGUUUUGUCCAGUACUGAGGCUCCAAAUGAUCCCCCUCCGGUGCCUUCUCUUUCUGGGGCUCUACCGACUGCUGAGACUUCUCCUAAGCAACCUUUGUGAAGGCUCCGUCUUGUGUGUUUAUUUUGACUCAUGUAUAUGUACAUAUUUGUAGCUGAUCGGGGAUAUCAAUAAAUAAGCUUUCCUUCAUUUCAACGUAUUGUGUUAAAUACACCAAAGCCUUCUUCGCUAAGUUCUUUGAAUUUUCUUUUGUUGAAGCUUGUAUGUUGAAGCUUUCUGAGUGGAGCAUGUAGGUUGGGGUAGUGUUCCCUUAAUUUCCCGAGUGAGGAAAACUUCUCGGUUGGAGACUUGGAAAAUCCAAGUCACUGAGUGGGAUCGGCUAUAUGAAUCUUAGAACGCCAUUGUGCUCGAUCCUGUGUCAUGUCCUUCGUUAGAUCCAAGUACUCUAAGUCUUUUCUUAGAGUCUCUUCCAAAGUUUUCCUAGGUCUUCCUCUACCCCUUCGGCCCUGAACCUCUGUCCCAUAGUCGCAUCUUCUAAUCGGAGCGUCAGUAGGCCUUCUUUGCACAUGUCCAAACCACCGUAACCGAUUUUCUCUCAUCUUUCCUUCAAUUUCGGCUACUCCUACUUUACCCCGGAUAUCCUCAUUCCUAAUCUUAUCCUUUCUCGUGUGCCCACACAUCCAACGAAGCAUCCUCAUCUCCGCUACACCCAUUUUGUGUACGUGUUGAUGUUUCACCGCCCAACAUUCUGUGCCAUACAGCAUCGCCGGCCUUAUUGCCGUCCUAUAAAAAUUUUCCCUUGAGCUUCAAUGGCAUACGGCGGUCACACAACACGCCGGAUGCACUCUUCCACUUCAUCCAUCCAGCUUGUAUUCUAUGGUUGAGAUCUCCAUCUAAUUCUCCGUUCUUUUGCAAGAUAGAUCCUAGGUAACGAAAACGGUCGCUUUUUGGUAUUUCUUGAUCUCCGAUCCUCACCCCUAACUCGUUUUGGCCUCCAUUUGCACUGAACUUGCACUCCAUAUAUUCUGUCUUUGAUCGGCUUAGGCGAAGACCUUUAGAUUCCAACACUUCUCUCCAAAGGUUAAGCUUUGCAUUUACCCCUUCCUGAGUUUCAUCUAUCAACACUAUAUCGUCUGCGAAAAGCAUACACCAAGGAAUAUCAUCUUGAAUAUGUCCUGUUAACUCAUCCAUUACCAACGCAAAAAGGUAAGGACUUAAGGAUGAGCCUUGAUGUAAUCCUACAGUUAUGGGAAAGCUUUCGGUUUGUCCUUCAUGAGUUCUUACGGCAGUCUUUGCUCCUUCAUACAUAUCCUUUAUAGCUUGGAUAUAUGCUACUCGUACUCCUUUCUUCUCUAAAAUCCUCCAAAGAAUGUCUCUUGGGACCCUAUCAUACGCUUUUUCCAAAUCUAUAAAGACCAUGUGUAAAUCCUUUUUCCCAUCUAUAAAGACUCAGAAAUAGUCACAACUGCACAAAUUAAAAUGAUGAGAACUUAUUAUUGAUGCAUGCGCAAUCAUAUACAAAUUUAUAGUAAAAGUGAAAUAAUCAAUUAAUGGACUCCUAGUAAACAUUUCUAGAGGUGACAAUUUGGGACUAGAGAUGGCAACAGGACGGAUUCAGAUCAAGGUUGCCAACAUCAUAACCGUAUCGCCAGGUAUACAAUCCCUAAUAUAGUACUCCCAAAUAAUCUAAUAACUUGAUAUUAUAUGUUCCAAUAAAAAAUAAAAAAAACUUGAUAUUGUAUGUAUAAAGCACAAUAAAACACACCACAUAAUAUUACUUAAUAGGAAAAUGUUGGGAAGAUCACAUAUUUUUGUGUCACAUUUAUGUAUCAUCUAAUGUGGCAACUGAGGUAUACACGUCACAUCAAUUUAUGAAUUUAUCUCACUGGAUGUUGAUUGUGUCCACCACUUGCCAUAUGAGAUGAUACACUAAUAUAGUAUAAAUAUGUAGUUUUUAUAGCAUUACUCUUUAAAUAAUAAAGCAUAAUAAAACAUACCAUAUAUGAUUGCAAAAAUCAUAUAUUAGUAUACAUUAUUUUUCUUAAAUUUUAACAUGUUGAACAAAUAAAUGGGCAGCUUUGGGAUUACCUUGCAAUCCUACGUUUCAAGACUCGAACUUGCACGAAUAUUGGACAUGAUCUGUAGCAAGAAGCAGUUUCAUGGGAGUCAAUCAGGUCAUGAGGGCACUUGUUUGCACUUAUGAUCAACAAAUCCAGACUGAACGAUGGAAUAAUUAAGCCUGAAAAGUGCACAGAUUAUAUAGAUGGUUAUUGAUAAAAUAAUUAAUUAAGCAUACAAACUUGAAGAAAAAUGAAAUAAAUAAAUAAUGGAUUUGGCAUAUAUAGUUGCAAGAGGAACUUACCGCGUUGGAGUUUUCAGAUGAUGAUGAAGAUGAAGGGACUUGUUUCCAUAGAUCAUUAAGAUCAACAGAUCUAGACUACUUUAGAGCUCUUCAAUUUGCUGAGAUAAUUAGGUGUUGAAACUGAAAGACCUAACGAAGUCUUCUUCCUUCUGCCCAAAAGGAAAGUUAGACUCCUCUUUUUCCUCUCUCUUUAUUUUUCGUGGGGUCAUAUUGUUUUAUCAUUUUGAUUGCUUUCUUAUCUCCUAUGUCCUACACGGUUAUUGCUUCUUUUUUUUUCAUUUGGAGAAAAUUGUGUCAAUGAUCUCUUAACUUUAAUCAAAUUAGAAUAAUGAUCUCUUAAUUAAAAAUUCAUGAUCAUUGAUCUCUUAACUCAUUAAAAUGUGCAGCUAAAGUCCAUUUCGUCAACACCGCUAAAAUUUCCGUCAAAAUGAGUCACGUGCUAGGCACAUGAGGCCGAAUCAAGAAGCAAAUAUGGAAAACUAAAUGAGAAAAUUGUAGAAAUAGUUUCUCAAUUUUAACUCAAUUGAAGCAAUGAUCUCUUAACUUUAAUACAAUUGUAGCAAUGUUUCUUUCAACUUGACUUGUUUUGACAAAAGUUAUGAUGAAGUUGAUAAAAAUGACUAUAGCUGCACGUUUUGGGAAGUUAAGAAACCAAUGAUCAUGUAUUUUUAAUUGAUAAACUAUUGCUACAAUUUCUUUUUUCCUUUAUGCGAUCGAUUUUGGAGAUGGUGAACCAAACAUGAAACUUCGGGUGCAAAGGUGACUCGUAAACAACUGAGCAACAUUCCCUUGCAAUGCUGAUCAUGUUAUUUUGUGAGCGUGAUUGGUUCAAUUUUUUGUAGGCCAUUGUAGGUAAUGUAGAGACAAUCAAUUUUAAACAGUAAAAAGACACUGAAACAACUUGGGCCAUACAACACAAAGAAGAAGAAAAUGCUCCUGCCGACACCAGAUUUACUGAAGUUACCAUGUAUUAUGCUUUACCAUCUUGUAGUUAUACUACUUAAUUACUCACAGAGCCAUAUUUGAUUAUGAUCAAUUUGAAGAUGAAGAGCAAGUUUUAUUAGCAUAUAAUUAAGGGAGUUUUAACGAAACACUUAUGGUACUGUUAACUUAAAAACUACAUUUGUACCUUUCUAUGGUACUAUUCAGUACACAUUUAAUUGUUAUUUUUCAUUAAAACUAAAGUUUUUUUGGACUUUUCGUUGGUUUUCCUUAUAAUUAAUGAACAUCUAGAUGUUUAAGGAAACGAGAGCAAGAUUUUCAUAAAGUGAAAAUACUAGCUUAUUAUGUUAAUUUUGAAGAUUAAGUGAGACGAAUUAAGCUUUAUGGAACUGAAUCAGUGACAAGUAAUUUUAGACUUAUGACAAGUAAUUUGUGUCUUUGCCAUGUGAAAUUUGCUUUUCACUAAUCAUUCUCCCCGCAAUAAAAUUAGUAGUGCUAAAGUGAAUCAAUAAAAUUAGUAGUGCUAAAGUGAACCAAUUCCGCAAAAUACAUAAAAACCAAAAAGAAAUGUUUUUUAUAUUAACACCCCACAAAAUGUUGAAUACACUCCAUAUUAAAAUUUAAUAUUAAAUAACUUAUUCCAUAUGAGAUGAUACACUAAUAUAUUAGUAUACAUAUGUAGUUUUUCUAGCAUUACUCUUUAAAUAAUAAAGCAUAAUAAAACAUACCAUAUAUGAUUGCAAAAAUCAUAUAUUAGUAUACAUUAUUUUUCUUGUUGUGACAUAUGUUCUUAUCAAUAUGUGAUUGUGUAAAUCCUAAGUAGAGAUAAAAUAGGAAUCCUUUGGGAUCUAGAAGAUCUUUCCUAAUAUACUUUGUAUUACUUGGAGAGCAAGUUUCUCUCCUCCUAAUUACUAUAAAUAAAGGCACAAUGACUGGAGAAUUAACACACAAUUCCUCAAGUCUAUUCUCCAAUCUCUCUUCUUCUCUUUGCCGCAUAUCUCUGUAAAAUAUAGGCCACAACACGUUAUCAGCACGCUCUUCACGCUGUGCUUAGAAGAAUUUAAAGAGAAUUUAUUCGUCUACAAUCAGGGGAGUAUUACGUUUCAAUUAUUUUUAAUUGAUUAAAUCUUGAUUUUAUUGAAUUCAUAUAUUGUUAUUGAUUCAAUUUAUUUUUCUUCUUAUGUUGAACGUGAUACAAGCUUGAAGAUGAAAGCCGAAAUUGAAGAAAAAUAAUUUUUUUCUGCAUCAAACCAGUUCAUUCAUAUCAUCACGCAAUCAGGUUCUUCCAAAACAACGGCUUUUUAACUCGAUAUUUUUGAAGCCCUGAUCGCAUGAACACAUUCACCAUGAUGCAUGACCCAACUUUACGUUUAACGUAUUUUAGAUUCUACAUAAAUUGUGUAUGCCUCAUAACCAAAAUUGCUGCAAUUAUGUGAAUUUGAUAUUUGCCAUGAAUUGAAACAUACAUAUGUAAAUGCAUUGAAACUAUUAUUUUGCAUAUGCAUCAAAUUACAUAUGUGUUUCAUUGAAAUAUAUAUACUAUUGAAUUAUAUAUGCAUUUAAUUGAAUUGAAAAAAAUUGAAAAAUUAGGGUUUCGAGACCCUAACCAGCGAGCUGCAGGCUUUAAGCCGCGCCGCUUUGUAAGCCAUAGGGCUGCGAUGCACUGGAGCAUAGCUCUGCUAUGCUGAGAACCCAACACGAUGCCGUUUGCGUCAUCCCCAACCCAGAAAACAUACCCUCGCCGGAAGCCGAGACCGUGGCGUUGCCAUUUUUUUUCUAGAUUUCACGACCUGCAGUCGUGAUAGUUUGGGGUUUCAUCGUCGACUACAACGAUGUUAUUUGAAUUUCCGUUGAAAUUCAAUACUAAAAUCGAAGAUUCCCGAAUCGAAUCCCUGGGUUCCACACUUCCCCGAUGUCGAGGACCCUCCUCCGUCGUUAUGAUUAGUUCUUGGAUGAACCACCAUGCCUCGAACUCACUCCUAAGGUUCCCCGUGCUUCGCCGUGCCACAACCUCAGAGGACAGUCGCCUGAAGCGACACUGGUGUUCUUCCUCGGCUGUACACACCCAAUAAGACUGGGUUUGUGACCCAUAUUUUUGGGUUGGACCCUCUCUCGGUCUUCCUCUUUCGCAUUGGGCUCACGCGUCGUGACCCAAACAUUUUUUUUAGGACCUCAUAUUUUGGCCUUACUGUUUUCCACGACCCGUAUAACAAAAAAAAAAAAAAUACAAAUUCUUGGGCUUGCCUGAAGCAGCCCGCGCGAUCAAAAAGCAAGGAUUUUUUUUUUUUGGCUGCCCACAGCAGCCUAGUCUUUUUCUGUGGGCCUGCAGCCCCACCCGAAACCCCUAGCCCAAUUUUUGGGCCUAGGUAGAAUGGACCAUAUUUUUUAAAGCCACCCGUGGCUUAGUUUUUGUUUUGGGCCCCGAAUUUUAUUAGCCUAAUUUUUUUUUAGGCCCAAUGGGUUUAUAUUUUUUCACCCACAUUUUAAUUUGGCCCGAAGUCCAAAUAAAUUAAUUCAAUUAUAAUUGUGAACCUAAAGUUAUAUUUUUGCACAUACUUGUUGCAUAUUUGCUUGCAUAUAUAUUUGUGUUUGCUUGCAGGUAUUAUGAACUUAAAAGUUCAUACUUCCGAACCCGAAGUUUCGGAAAAGUGCCAUAUGAACCUGAAGUUUCUUAAUGCACAACACUCAUGUUGAGACUCGAAGUUCUCCAUGCUUAAAUCCGUUUAAACCAAACCAUGUCUUAGUACCUGAAUGUUCUAAAUUUGUUGUUUAUGGAAAUUUUAUUUCCUAAAACACCAAUCACAUUCUUGUUUCCUCCAUUCAGCGUAUUGUCGAACCGUAACAAGUUCGAUUUCACUGAUUUGGAAGUUUCGAAUAGUAAACUACUUUAUGUGGAUACAAGACGUGAAUAAGCAUCCGCCAUGAUCCUUAUUCGAAGAAUUAUGCCUGAAGCAUAUCCAAUGGAAGUACCUCCCUGCUGAGGACUCCAUGACUCUUCAAAUCCGUUAUGGACUGUUUCAAAUCAUGCAAAGAUGAAUUUUUGCCUGAAGCAAAACAUGAUUGAAACUGUUACGUCCAUGAAUAGGUACAAUUCUCGUAGUCCAUUUGUGAGACUCAUUUUGCUCCACCUAAUACAUUUGGAAGAGCGAAAUUGACAUGGACGACCUAUUGGCCGAACCCCAUUGAUUUUUUUUGGUUUAUUUUGUGAAUAAUUUAUUUUGUUCUCAGAUUUAAGAUUAGUGUUUGGAUGUCACCAUUAUUCUCGAAUAAAAGAGUUAAUUAACGAAGAUUACCACAUGUGACUACAAUUAACUCAUGCUUAGGUAUGUUUUGUGGGGAAGUUAGCUGUCUGGUUCUAUGCUAACUUCAUACCUAAUCAUCCCCCGACAACCUUUCAGGCUUAUCCAACCUGAUUGUGGGGCAUGGCACUGCCCUAUAUUGUCCAAUGGUAUUAACUUUACCAUAAAGGGAAGCCUUAUACUCACUUCGUUCCGGAAGAACGCAUUUUUGAGCUUUAAGGAUAUUCGAGAGUAUUAUUACCAUAUUGAAACCAAUGUAGAAAAAUGGAGUAAAAUUCCUUGGCAUAUUACCAUUUUGCACUUCUUACGAAUAUAGUUAAAUGCAUAUUCUAGAGAAGAUGGAACGCUUAACGCAUGGAUUACAUCCAUUCAAGUCCACUAUGUGGCCGGCCAGAAGCCGCGAUUCCUAAGGAAUUUUCGCUAUGGAUGUACGUUUGGGAUAUCUAGGAUGAUUCGUGAUGCGCCGUUUUGGGCAUCCUUUUACCAGAAGUAAAGAAAUCAUACCUGGACACGUAUUAUACCUUAGCACCCUCCAUCUUUUUACAAAGGAUUCAAAUGGGACAUUUGUGGAUAGAUUCAACCACCCUACGGACCAUUUAAAUAUUCUAUAGUAUUGGUUGAUGCUUCUACACGUUUGUCACAUGUGUGGUUGUUGUCCACAAGUUGCAUUCUCCACACUGGUAGCUCAGAUUAACAAGCUCAGAGCUCACCACCCUGAUCAUCUGAUCAAAUUUAUUUGAUUGGAUAAGUUGGAGAAUUUACAUCGACAUUUACAUCGAACAAUUUAAAUCUCGAUGGAUAUUGCAUGUCGGUUGGGUUUUUUGAAAGUUGAACAUCCAGUCCCAUGUUCAUACCCAGAACGACCCAGCAGAAGUAUUCAUUAAACGCCUUCAAAUGAUUGCGUGGUCGACUGGUCAUACGUACCACAGUUCCCGACCUCUGCUUGGGGCCAUGCAAUAUUGCAAGCAACCAUGUUGGUCUGCCUGAGGCCCGUCACGACCCAACCUUAUAAAGCGCGUGUCAGUUGGUUACCAGAUACGAACCCGACAUAUCGCAUCUACGCGUCUUUGGUUGUGCGGUCUAUGUGCCAUUUUGCGCCGCCCUUACGUACACAAAAACAAAGGGGUCCUCAGGGAAGGAUGGAAAUCUAUGUCGGUUAUGAUUCUCCUUCUAAUAUUCAUUACUAAAUAACCUUUGACAGGCGAUCUCUUUACCGCUCGUUUUGCGGAUUGUCACUUUUAUGAGACAGUCUUCCCGUCAUUAGGGGGAGAUAAGAACGUCACCGUUCCUAAAAAACGACGCGAAUUAUCGUGGACGUCCCCACUAUGUCUCAUAUCGAUCCCAAUCUAGAUCGUCAGAGUUUAACCAGACAUUUCCUCUGAUCUAGAAAAAGUGACGAGAUCACAUAUACCAGCUGCAAAUGUGCCUGCAAAGAUGUGUACCAAAUGUACUUCGGACCUUUGUCCUGAAAGUAGGAAAGCCACAAUUAUGGCCGACCCUCGUACAUUGGCGGCUAGCCAAUCAAUCUAUCUUAUGCCAGAAGCAUGGUAGAUCACUCGGUUCGAGGAUUCACUUCCCCAAAAGAGGAGGAACGUGGCACAAAUGAAUCCGCCCCUCGAUCGCUGUCUCAGACCUUUUCAUCUCAUGAGAUUAAAUCCGGAUUACUCCCGAGACCUGAAGUUCUUGGUCCAGUAUACUAGUUUGGAUGAGAUAUGGAAUUGGAAUGAGAUUAUCAUAAAUGAUGUUUCAUUUAUAUGGUACCGACAUAAAUGAAAAGCGACGAUAACGAACUACGUUCCGUUGAUUAAUAUCAACGUAGAACUGAUUGGUCAACUAAAAUAAUCAAUCUAUGACAAAUGAGAUGAAUGAAAUAGUGCAAUAUGACGCCUUGUGGCGCAAGGUUUCUCUCAUACGCCAUGUGAUUGAUCGCAGCAUUACAAACGUGGUUGUAGUAUCUCUGGGAUCGUGAUAUGAACCUACAUGGAGUUUCCAAAGGACUUACAUGUACUGAUUCAAAUAGUUCUAGACCACAAGAACAUCCUCUUGAUUCUCAAGCGGCCUUCACUUUACGGAUGCAGAACUAUCCGGGCAUAUGUGGUAUACCCGUCUAAGUGAAUAUUUGAUCAGUUAGGGAUAUAUGCCCCUGCGUGUAUAAAAUCCGAAAUUGCUAAAGUUGAGAAAAUUAACUCGCAUAUCGGACUAUAAGAUGAAUGAUCUUGGGAGAACUUGACAUUACCUCGACCUGAAGUUUCGAGCUAGUUUUGAUGGUAUUCUGGUCCACCACUCAAACUAGACCCAAAAGGUGUUACGUCUGAGUAUAUCCUGAUCAUCUGUAUGCUAGAUGCAAAUGAGACCUUUACGGAGGGUAUGGAGCAUAAGGUUCCUUAUUGGAACGUGAGGCAGCCAUAUCUAAGUACCAUUGGAUUUUGUUGUACUUAGCUCAAAUGCACUAGAUCAGACAUCUUAUGUGCUGAUAAUCUUUUGGCAUAAAGCAGCACUGCGCCUAACACGCCACCACCAAAUUUGGUGUUAAAGACGUUUUUCUGUUACUACGGAUUUGGGCUUAUUCCCUAUGCAUCUCAGAAUAGAUCACACCCCCUUGAUCUUCGGAAUGAUGCCUACCUUGUGGGAUUCGCUGAAUCAGACCAUUUGUCUGACCGCACAAGGUACGUUCCCGCAUGGUUAUGUCUUUACCAUUAAGGAACACCGCAAUAUCUUGGAGGUUAAUUAGAUAGACCUUUUGUUGCGAAAUCUUUUUGAAUCGUUCCAAGACUCACUAUGUCUCAUCACGUGAGAGAUAUGGUCGAGAAUUCUUGUUGAGCAUAUUAAAAAAUCCUUGCGAUUUUCAUCCAUCGUUGAGUCCCAACAACGAUCCAUGAAUACAACGCUGUAUGUAUCGACCAGAUCAUGAUACAUCCAAAAAGUCAACACCAAACAUAUUGUAUCUACAUCAGCAUGAGCAUCAGAAGAUUGAAGUCAAGCAGUCCAAUCCCAGACAACCUUACCGACAUCUACACAAAGUCACUACCAAAGUCUACCUUCCAGAAGCUUGUCCAAUGAAUUGGUAUGCGUAACUUUCUCAUUUGCAAUGCUUGUAGUUUCAUUUGGAAGUUUUGUCAAACUCAUGGGGAGUAUCUAGAAGUAUACUCACUUGAUCUUAAUGUACUCUUUUUCCCUACGAUUAGGAGCAUUUUUCCCACUGGGUUUUUGCUACCUAACUAGGUUUUAACGAGGCACCCAUCCUGGGCUGAUCAUACCCUUGUGAGCUCUUCUACUUGCGUCCAGAAGACGUAUAGUUUUUGACUUAAUGCAACUUCUCACUUUUCUCCUUAGCCUAUGGGCUUUUCUCCCACCUUGGGUUUUGCCAUAGUAAGGUUUUGUGAGUUUUACCACUCCUGCAUUCUUCCGUCUUUUGAGACUCGCAUUCGCUACUUGUGCCGACUAAACGAGACGAUUUCAUCCACUACUUCUACAUUUGCCUGAAGAUCUGAUGCGCCAUCUACUUGAAUAUUUGCACACUCAAGGGGGAGUGUUGUGACAUAUGUUCUUAUCAAUAUGUGAUUGUGUAAAUCCUAAGUAGAGAUAAAAUAGGAAUCCUUUGGGAUCUAGAAGAUCUUUCCUAAUAUACUUUGUAUUACUUGGAGAGCAAGUUUCUCUCCUCCUAAUUACUAUAAAUAAAGGCACAAGGACUGGGGAAUUAACACACAAUUCCUUAAGUCUAUUCUCCAAUCUCUCUUCUUCUCUUUGCCGCAUAUCUCUGUAAAAUAUAGGCCACAACAUUUCUUAAAUUUUAACAUGUUGAACAAAUAAAUGGGCAGCUUUGGGAUUACCUUGCAAUCCUACGUUUCAAGACUCGAACUUGCACGAAUAUUGGACAUGAUCUGUAGCAAGAAGCAGUUUCAUGGGAGUCAAUCAGGUCAUGAGGGCAUUUGUUUGCACUUAUGAUCAACAAAUCCAGACUGAACGAUGGAAUAAUUAAGCCUGAAAAGUGCACAGAUUAUAUAGAUGGUUAUUGAUAAAAUAAUUAAUUAAGCAUACAAACUUGAAGAAAAAUGAAAUAAAUAAAUAAUGGAUUUGGCAUGUAUAGUUGCAAGAGGAACUUACUGCGUUGGAGUUUUCAGAUGAUGAUGAAGAUGAAGGGACUUGUUUCCAUAGAUCACUAAGAUCAACAGAUCUAGAUUACUUUAGAGCUCUUCAAUUUGCUGAGAUAAUUAGGUGUUGAAAGACCAUAACGAAGUCUUCUUCCUUCUGCCCAAAAGGAAAGUUAGAUUCCUCUUUUUCCUCUCUUUAUUUUUCGUGGGGUCAUAUUGUUUUAUCAUUUUGAUUGCUUUCUUAUCUCCUAUGUCCUACACGAUUAUUGCUUCUUUUUUUUUCAUUUGGAGAAAAUUAUGUCAAUGAUCUCUCAACUUUAAUUAAAUUAGAAUAAUGAUCUCUUAAUUAAAAAUUCAUAAUCAUUGAUCUCUUAACUCAUUAAAAUGUGCAGUUAAAGUCCAUUUCGUCAACACCGCUAAUAUUUCCGUCAAAAUGAGUCACGUGCUAGACACAUGAGGCCGAAUCAAAAAGUGAAUAUGGAAAACUAAAUGAGAAAAUUGUAGAAAUAGUUUCUCAAUUUUAAUCUAAUUGAAGCAAUGAUCUCUUAACUUUAAUACAAUUGUAGCAAUGUUUCUUUCAACUUGACUUGUUUUGACAAAAGUUAUGAUGAAGUUGAUAAAAAUGACUAUAACUGUACGUUUUGGGAAGUUAAAAAACCAAUGAUCAUGAAUUUUUAGUUGAAAGGUUAUUGCUACAAUUUCUUUUUUCCUUUAUGCGAUCGAUUUUGGAGAUGGCAAACCAAACAUGAAACUUCGGGUGCAAAGGUGACUCUUAAACAACUGAUCAACAUUCCCUUGCAAUGCUGAUCAUGUUAUUUUGUGAGCGUGAUUGGUUCAAUUUUUUGUAGGCCCUUGUAGGUAAUGUAGAGACAAUCAACUUUAAACAGUAAAAGACACUGAAACAACUUGGGCCAUAUAUAACACAAAGCAGAAGAAAAUGCCGACACCAGAUUUUACCAUGUAUUAUGCUUUACCAUCUUGUAGUUAUACUACUUAAUUACUCACAGAGCCAUAUUUGAUUAUGAUCAAUUUGAAGAUGAAGAGCAAGUUUUAUUAGCAUAUAAUUAAAGGAGUUUUAACGAAACACUCCUGGUACUGUUAACUUAAAAACUACAUUUGUACCUUUCUAUGGUACUAUUCAGUACACAUUUAAUUGUUAUUUUUCAUUAAAAUUAAAGUUUUUUUGGACUUUCGUUGGUUUUCCUUAUAAUUAAUGAACAUCUAGAUGUUUAAGGAAACGAGAGCAAGAUUUUCAUAAAGUGAAAAUGCUAGCUUAUUAUGUUAAUUUUGAAGAUUAAGUGAGACGAAUUAAGCUUUAUGGAACUGAAUCAGUGACAUGUAAUUUUAGACUUAUGACAAGUAACUUGUGUCUUUGCCAUGUGAAAUUUGCUUUUCAAUAAUCAUUCUCCCCGCAGUAAAAUUAGUAGUGCUAAAAUGAACCAAUAAAAUUAGUAGUGCUAUAGUGAACCAAUUCCGCAAAAUACACAAAAGCCAAUUCCAUAAAAACAAAAAAGAAAGGCUUUUUAUAUUAACACCUCACAAAAUGUUGAAUGCACCCCACAUUAAAAUUUGGGGUGUGCUAUCCACACACCAUUUUUUACUUCUCACACACCUCUUGUUAAUUUCUGUCCGUUGAUCUUCUUCAAUUCAUCCGAUCUGAUGGCCGAAAACCAAAAAGGUGUGGGAGAAGUAAAAAUGAGUGUGUGGAUAUUACACCCCUAAAAUUUAAUAUUAUAUGACUUAUUUACUCUACUAUGCAAUGAUAAUUUUGACCUUAUUAGGUUUAAAAAAUAUAUAUAAAUUUAUAAGAGUAAACUGCCGAUUUUCCCCCUGAACUGUCACCCAACUUUCGAUUUCCCUCCUGAACUUUUUAAUUUGAAAAUUAAGGACUUAAACUAAUUUUUUUGGCCAAUUUCCCCCUACCGUUAGUUUUUCAUAGAUUUCAUCCAAAUUAACGUUAACUCUUAUUAUGUGCAAACCACGUAACUCUUCUUUAUGGACAAAAAUGUCACUUCACUAGACCUUCAGAUACAAAAGCUAUAGAAUCACACAUAUUUGCAUAGGUUUAUAUUUUAGAAAUCUAAGGUUUUUUAUUAUUUUGAAGAAUGAAGCAACCGAACUACCUACACAUGUUGUGCACAUACUUCCAUUUAACAGAAAUUUGGAUGGAAUGAAUGAAAAAUUAACAGCAGGGGCAAAUCGGCAAAAAAAAAAUAGUUUAAGUCCUUAUUUUUCCAAUUAAAAAGUUCAGGGGAAAUCAAAAUUUGGGUGAUAGUUCAGGGGGCAAAUCGGCAGUUUACUCAAUUUAUAAUUACACCCCAAAUCACUUUUAGCGUAUUAGUUAUCCUCUCAACUAUCAAAACCCUCUCAUCCUCCAUUGUUGAACAAAAGCCUAACCAAUGAAACUACAAACAUAUUGAUUGAGAAAAAUUGUUUUUGACGAAUGGAACAUGAAAUCGAUGUUUCGGAAGCUUCACAUGAGGUAAGACUUCAUAUUUUUCAUUGUUUUAGUGAUUUCGAUGACAUCAAUAAUUAUUUACUUUUGCGUUAGCUGCAUAAUUUAAACUUCUAUAUUCAUAUUCAUCUUUUAAGGUUCAUAUUAAUCUUGAGUACCCAGUAACAUGAGUCAUAUUAGUGCUAGUCAUAUACUACUUUUACAAAUUGAGGAUAGCCAUUCUCCACAUAAACUCCUACUCUCAAUCUUUUGCCAUUUGAUUGACGUCCGUUUCUCAUCGCGAGUUUUUCUUUCUUUUUUCUUCUUUCUUUUCUUGUCACUGGGAGAUGAUCCGUGGAAAAUGAGGUGAGACAUGGCCUGCAUUUAAAGAAAUCUAAGACCGAUUUAAUUUUGAUUUAUUAAUUAACUUCUACACCUGGAUCAUUAGCAGAGAGAGAGUCUUUAUUUAUCUUGUUCAAGACUAAGUCUAAAGACUUGUGAAAUAAAUCUGAGAACAAUUCGGUUUUGAUUUGAAAUCUUUUGGCAAACUAAACGUUCAAAUCGUUAGAUUCAAUCCCUGAAAAUUAAAAAUGAGUGUUAUAAGAUUUGAAAAAUGUGGGGUGUAAAUAAAAUGUGGGGUGUAUGUACAAAAUAUAAGAGGUAUAUUGAGAAUGUGGGGUGUGUGGUAUUAUGAGAAAGUAUGUGAGGUGUAUUAAGAUAAAUUUUAAAUGAAAAAACAAAUGUAAAGUGUAUUAAGUAUGUGAGGUUUAUUGGACAAUUUGUAGGGUGUUAAUAUAAUUAGCCAAAAGAAACCGACAGAAAGGAACCAACUUCUUAAUUUCCUUUUUGUUGCAUAUGAAUAUUCACUUAACAAUCUUCCCACAACCUCUCUCUGCUUCAAUUAAGGUUAGAUAUGUUUCUUAAUACUGGUUUGGUGAGAUCGACUUUCCUCUUUUCGGUCCUAUACAGAAAUGAAAGCCUACCAGGUUACCAGUGCUAAUAGAAAUAAACUAUAUGGUUGGGACUUGUACAUGGUUAGAUCCUCGGUCUCCACGAAUUAUGCUAAAAGGCGGACUAAUCAGAUGAUUAUCAAACACUACAAAGGCCAUCGUUCAAGCGGCGCCAUGCCUGCCAAUGAACAGCUCCGUUCACAAGAGCCUGAAAUUUGCGAGAAUCAAAGCCUUUACAAACGGGAUCAAAAGAAUGAGGACCACUCCACAAUCCUCUAGCAAGUGAAUAAACCCUCAUAAAAAGUAUUCGGAUCCUCGUAUUCCAACCACACGAAGAAAUCUAUUGCGCUUGGGAACACUUGGAUAUUCUAGCUUGCAGUACUCAUCAAAAGCAUGGUUAUCAUAAUGCAAAUAGUAAUUCAGCUCCACUGGAUUGUCUCCACGAACACAUUGCAGAAGGAGGUGGUGGGUGCCAAACUGGUUAAAAUCGAUGGUACAGCUGAGGUGGGUGCGAAUAAAGCUGGGAUUUUUUAUCAUGGAGUUCCAAGGCUUGGACACCGAGGUGCAUCGGUGUUAGUGUUUAAGUGUUUUUAGCUGAAAUAAAACAUUUCAGUUUACCUGUUUUAAUUAUAGCCUUUGGAUUACAUUCCAAAUGGAUGCUCUAGAUUAAGUGAGAGUUAAUGAUAUAGAGUGACAACUGUAGCUAUCUCAUAGGAUAGAUGAAAUGAAUGGUUGUGAUGUAUUUUCUCUGAUAUGAGAGAGAAAUGUGCUAAUGCUCUGUAAUGUGAGUGUUUUCGGUAAUGUCCAUUCGAUUGUCAGAAAGAAGAGAAAUGAAACGUCUUGUUCACUCAUCUUUGUGAAUACUCUCUGCAACUCCUUGUUUUCUUUUAUACAAGAAAGCUCCCAAAACAACAUCAAAUCUAUAAACUAACAUGGCCUCAGAGCCAGGUUGCAUCCUCUGCAACUGGGCGUGAAUCUGUGAAGCUCACAGUGAAGAGCUCGAACUGACCGUUGAGUUCUCACUGAAGAAAACGCGGAGAAGAAAGUGUAGUGAUCUUAGAUCUCGUCUCACAUGGCUGGAUCGAGUGGAGCUGAUCUUCGUGCACCGGUUUUCAAUGGUGAAAACUUUGAUUUCUGGCAGAUUCGGAUGAAGACAAUAUUCCGAUCGCACGAGCUAUGGGAUAUCGUCGAAAAUGGUGUCGAAACUUCGACGAAUAAGGAUGAAGAACUUACUGUAGCUGAAAGCAAGUUAUUGAAGGAGAAUAUAGUCAGAGAUGCGAAGGCACUUGGAAUCAUCCAAGGUGCGGUUUCGGAUCAGAUCUUUCCGAGAAUCGCAAUCCAAGAGACUGCAAAUGCUGCUUGGAAUGUGCUGAAACAAGAAUUUGUGGGAGAUAAACAGGUACGGGCUGUGAAACUCCAAGGCUUACGCCGGGGUUUUGAAUAUACUAGAAUGGGUGAAAAUGAAGCUUUCUCUGCAUAUCUAGUUAGGUUAUUUGAUUUGAUUAGUCAAAUGAGAAGCUAUGGUGAGGAGAUAAGUAAUCAGAGAAUCGUUCAAAAGUUGCUAAUAAGUUUACCUAGGUCCUAUGAUAGUAUUGCUUCUGUGAUUGAAAAUACUAAGGAUCUAGAUAUUGUUGAUGUUCAAGAUGUGGUAGCAAUUCUCAAAGGUUAUGAGCAAAGAAUUGAUCGGCAUGAUGAAUCUCAUACUGAGAAAGCAUUUGUUAGUCUCAGUAUUGCUCCAAAACAGAAUAAGUACAAUGGGAAUCAAGGGUUCAAACCACAGAAGAAUUGGAAGUCUAAAUGGAAGAAAGGAGAUCAUAGACCUGCAAAUCAAACUGGAAAAGUUGCAGGUACUUCUGAAGGAGCUAAGAAUCCCUGUAUUCAUUGUGAUAAAUUGCAUUUUGGUGAAUGUUGGUUCAAAGAUAAACCAAGGUGUCAUAGUUGUCAUAAGUUGGGGCAUAUUGCAAGAGAUUGCCGAGUCAAGAAGGAGAAGACUAAUCAACAUGUGAAUUUUGUUAAUCAAGUCAAUGAUACUCCUACCAUGUUCUAUGUCUGCAAUAAUGUUAAUGUGAAGGAAAAUGAAGAUAUAUGGUAUGUAGACAGUGGUUGUAGUAACCAUAUGACUGGAAGGGAGGAGUUACUGAUUGACAUUGAUAGAAAUAUGACUGCUAAGGUAGAGAUGGGUACAGGACAGCUCAUUGAAGUCACAGGGAAAGGAAGUUUAGUAGUUGAUACCAAAAUGGGAAGGAGAUAUAUCAAAGAAGUGAUGUUAAUUCCAGGGUUAAAAGAAAAUUUGCUCAGUGUAGGGCAAAUGAUGGAACACGGUUACUUUCUUGUGUUUGGAGGUACAACUGCAGAGAUAUAUGAUGAUAGUUCAAUGUCUAAUCUGAUAGCUAGAAUACCAAUGAAGGGAAAUAGAAGUUUUCCUUUGAGACUUAUACCUGAGAUGCAGGUUGCUCUAAAGACUAGUGUGUUUUAGUCUUCUAAAAUCUGGCAUAGGAGGUUAGGACAUUUGAAUUUGAGCAGUUUGAAACAACUCAAAGAGCAUGAUAUGGUGUUGGGUUUGCCGGAUCUUGAAAUGACAAAUGAGAUAUGUGAAGGGUGUGCUUUUGAGAAGCAUUGCAGAGAUGCAUUUCCAAAGGAAGCAUCAUGGAGGGCCACACAACCUCUUGAACUCAUUCACUCUGACAUUUGUGGACCCAUGCAGAUUUCUACAAAGGCUGGAAAUAAGUAUUUUCUCACCUUCAUAGAUGACUGCACUCGGAUGUGUUGGGUUUACUUCUUAAGGAACAAGUCAGAGGUGUUUAGUGUAUUCAAGAAAUUCAAGCUCACAGUUGAAUUGCAAAGUGGAUAUAAAUUGAAGAAGUUGAGAAGUGACAGAGGAGGAGAAUAUGUAUCUGUUGAAUUCAGGGAAUUUUUGUGAAGAAAUGGGCAUGGAAAGACAGUUUACAGUGGGAUACACACCUCAGCAGAAUGGAGUAGCUGAGAGGAAGAAUAGAACCAUAGUUGAGAUGUCAAAGUGUAUGAUGAUUGAAAAGGGUGUCCCAUUUGAAUUCUGGGCAGAAGCUGUUAAUACAUCAGUGUAUAUUUUGAACAGAUGUCCUACCAAGUCUCUUGAUAAGAAGACUCCUUUCGAGGCAUAUAGUGGAAGAAAACCAGGGAUCAAACACUUAAAGAUUUUUGGUUCUGUGUGUUAUGCAUACAUUCCAAGACAGGUUAGACAGAAAUUGGAUGAAACAAGUACUAAAUGCAUAUUUUUGGGAUAUGGCACAUGUGAGAAAGGGUAUAGACUCUAUGAUCCUAUCUCAAAGAAAAUAAUUGUGUCAAGAGAUGUAAUAGUCAAUGAAAAUGCUUGCUGGGAUUGGGAGUCACAAUCUGAGAAAAUCAUCAGUGUAUCCAUACCUGGAAAGAAAUUGUGUGAACAAAAUGUGGAAGGAAAUUCAAGUGAUAAGAGUGAUGAAAAUGAUGAAUUCUUAGCAUCUUCAUCUGAAGCAAAUGAGUCAAUUGAAAAUGAUUCAAGACUGGUGCAAAUGCAGAGUAACACAGGUCCUCAAGACUAUGAUCAUACUCCUUUGAAGUUCAAAAGUUUGACAGAAAUAUAUGCAAAAUGCAAUCUGUGCAUUUAUUGAGCCUGAGAACUUUGAGGAAGCAGUAAAAGAUGAAUCAUGGCAGAAGGCAAUGGAAGCAGAAAUAGGCAUGAUAGAGAAGAAUUGCACCUGGGAACUUGUUGAUAGACCAUUUGAUAAGCCGGUUGUGGGUGUCAAGUGGAUCUAUAAAACAAAAAAUUGAACCUAGAUGGGUCUAUACAGAAGAAUAAGGCAAGGUUAGUGGCUAAGGGAUACUCUCAAAAGCCUGGAAUCGAUUUCAAUGAGACAUUUGCUCCUGUGGCAAGGCUUGACACUAUUAGAACUUUAAUUGGGCUUGCUGCACAUAAAGGAUGGAAGCUUUUCCAACUUGAUGUGAAGUCUGCAUUUCUGAAUGGAGUUCUAAAUGAGGAAGUAUAUGUAGACCAACCACUUGGCUUUGUGAUUAGAGGCAAGGAAGACAAGGUUUACAAGCUCAAGAAAGCUUUGUAUGGGUUGAAACAGGCACCAAAGGGCCUGGUACAAAGAAAUUGAUUCUCAUUUCUGCAACUCUGGUUUUCACAGAAGUCCAAGUGAAGCAACUCUCUACAUCAAAGCAACUGAGGCAGGAAUACUUAUUGUUUCUCUGUAUGUAGAUGACAUCAUAUACACAGGAAGUUCAGCUGCAUUGAUGAAUGAGUUUAAAACAGAAAUGAUGGGAAAGUAUGAAAUGUCUGAUUUGGGACUAUUGCAUCAUUUCUUGGGGCUUGGAGUCAUUCAAACUGAGAGUUGUAUUUUUCUGCAUCAAAAGAAAUAUGCAAGGACUCUGUUGGAGAAAUUCGGAUUGAAAGAAUGCAAACCUGUUGCAACUCCACUUGCAACAAAUGAAAGAUUAAGCAAAGAAGAUGGAAGUGAAAUAGCUGAUGAAAGUCUUUACAGGCAGAUAGUUGGUAGUUUGUUAUAUUUAACAGCUACAAGACCUGAUAUCAUGUUUGCUGCAAGUCUACUUGCUCGGUUCAUGCAUAAUCCAACCAGGAAACAUAUGGGAACUGCAAAGAGAGUGCUAAGAUAUAUUCAAGGCACACUGGACUAUGGAAUUGCAUAUGAAAAAGGCAAGGAUGUUGUGCUUAUUGGAUAUUGUGAUAGUGAUUGGGCAGGAAGUGAAGAUGACAUGAAGAGCACCUCCGGAUAUGCUUUUAGUUUUGGUUCUGGAGCAUUUUUCUUGGGCCUCAAUCAAACAAAGCAGUGUAGCUUUGUCCACUGCAGAGGCAGAGUAUGUUAGUGCUGCAGAGGCAACUGCACAAGCCAUCUGGUUAAGGUUUGUCUUAUCAGAUUUUGGAGAGGAACAAGUGGAACCUACUCAAAUUCUAUGCGAUAACACUUCAGCUAUUGCAAUCUCUAAGAAUCCAGUGGCUCAUCAUAAGACAAGACACAUAAACAGAAGAUUUCAUUUCAUCCGAGAUGCACUGCAGAAUGGUGAAGUUGAUCUGAUUUACUGCAAAACUGAAGAAAACAAGUUGCAGAUAUCUUUACAAAAGCAUUGGCAAGAGAUAGAUUUGAGUAUUUGAGGAAGGCUUUAGGAGUGAUUUCAGCUAAACACUUAGAAGGGAGUGUUAGUGUUUAAGUGUUUUUAGCUGAAAUAAAACAUUUCAGUUUACCUGUUUUAAUUAUAGCCUUUGGAUUACAUUCCAAAUGGAUGCUCUAGAUUAAGUGAGAGUUAAUGAUAUAGAGUGACAACUGUAGCUAUCUCAUAGGAUAGAUGAAAUGAAUGGUUGUGAUGUAUUUUCUCUGAUAUGAGAGAGAAAUGUGCUAAUGCUCUGUAAUGUGAGUGUUUUCGGUAAUGUCCAUUCGAUUGUCAGAAAGAAGAGAAAUGAAACGUCUUGUUCACUCAUCUUUGUGAAUACUCUCUGCAACUCCUUGUUUUCUUUUAUACAAGAAAGCUCCCAAAACAGCAUCAAAUCUAUAAACUAACAAUCGGAUCAAAGCUUUAGGAGGUAGUCUCAAAAGGAUAACACGUACAAUUUCCUUAGGCAAACUGCUAACCAUUGCUUCAAACUUCACUUCCCCGGCUGCCAAUUUCAUAGACAUAGAGUAAGUGAGGAAAUAUAGUGCAGCCAGUUACAGAACACCGUGCUCCUCCACAUAGGAGAACAACAUUGUCAAAACUCUGCCGGUGGUUGAUGAAUGCAGCAAAACCAUUUUUUAUGUGCACCAGGAAAUCAAACCAAAUCAAAUCAUCCGCAUAGAGUGAGGAAUUUAAGCAUAUUAGAUCAUGGCAGCAGAAAUAAUCACCCUCCAGUUAUUCGUUCUACUAGUCUACAACUGGAAACGCAGCAGAUACAGAAAACGCAUAGAAAAAGGUCACACUAUGAUCAAUUGACAAGAGCAAAUAUUUCCAGGGCCAUUAGUUCUUUCAAUUAAUCACAAUAAAACAAACAAAUGUUCCCAUUAGGCUACAUCUGUCUAAAAGGAGACAACCCGAGUUAACGUAUGCCAAUUCCACUUGCAUGGAAUAAUGCAGAUAAAACGGCCGAAUCAUCUUGUGUUCUUUUAUUUUUCAUAUAUCUUGGCCCUAACAUUAGAUCUGUCUUUCGCCACAUUUCCUUACUAGAGUUCUAUAUAAGUCAGUUGCAUGGAUUUUCACAUCAAAUGGUAUGCUGAGUUUGACCGAUAAGGCAGUGUUACAUAUGGUUGUAUUUUGUACGACCAACGUCACUUGAAAAGCAAUAACUUGCAGCUAAGAAAACCGCAAAGAAUGUAUUUCUAUUGGCUGACUCAUGUAUACAUCAAAUCAUUAGAGAAAGAAAUGGGACAACAGUUAUGAGAAAAAAUCUUACAGACGAAGGCCUGCCAAUGCCAGGAUCCACUCCUCCUCCAUGCCUGAUAUUAGGAUCAACCUUUCCUGGUGACUCGGGUUUUCCACCUGUCUUCUUCUCAUCCCUAGCCUUGUUAAAGAUCAUAGUUGUCACAUCCCGACCCGGGCUCGGCUCUGUCGUAGCACAAUAUUGUCCAUUUUAGGCCCCGAUCACGCCCUCACGGUUUUGUUUCUGGGAACUCACACGAGAACUUCCAGUGAGUCACCCAUCCUAGGAUUGCUCUCGCACGAUCUCGCUUAACUUCGGAGUUCCUUUGGAAUCCGAAGCCAAUGAGCUCCCAAAAUGACUCGUGUUAAAGGAGGUGAGCAUGUACAUAUAAGGCAUAGAUGAUCCUCACCCCUGAGCGAUGUGGGAUCUAUGGAAUGGGUAGAAUCUCCGAAGCCAAUGAGCUCCCAAAAUGACUCGUGUUAAAGGAGGUGAGCAUGUACAUAUAAGGCAUAGAUGAUCCUCACCCCUGAGCGAUGUGGGAUCUAUGGAAUGGGUAGAAUCAAACCAAUGUAGGUUUAUUGUGUUUAGUUAAACUCAUUGUGUUUGUGUUAGCUCAACUCAUUUAAAACUAAACUUUCAUACUUUAUGUUGUGUUAUUUGUGUUGAAUCCAAAAUUUGGUCAGUCUUGGAUUCACUAUCAUAUAGUCAAAGAGCUUGUUUGGAACUGUUUUUAAAAUUACUGAAAACACUUAAAUCAUUGCAUGAAGCAAUAAAGUGAUUUUCCAGAACUUACUUGACAUUUUAAUAAGAAUUGAUUUUAAAAAUAUUUUCAUAAAAAACGCUUUUAACCAUUCUUAAGGCCAAUUUCAAACGAAACAAAAAUAAGCACUACAAAAUUGUAUUUAUAUAGCCAAUAAUUAGGAUCAUCAUAACCCAUGUCUUUUCAACGAUAAGGACAAAAUGAAAGGUAAAGUAAAUAGUGUCAGUAUUAACUUUUUAGUGAAAAAAUGUGGUUUUUCGUUAAAGUGAACAGUACCAAGAGGUUUUUGUUAAAAUUCCCUUAUUUUAAUUCAAAGUUAAAAUGCAAUGAUCUGUACACCAAAACAACAAUAAUAAGCUUUGUUCCAAACUGAAGAUUCAAAAUGGAGUAAAAGGAAAAUAAUGAUUGACCAAGGAAAAAAAAGAAUUGUAUACCUGAGGAGUGAUGUAGAGUGUAUACGGAUGAAGUAUUUUUUUUUAGAUGAACAUCUGUAGGAAAAUCGAAACCAAAUGAGAUUACAUAGCAGCAAAAAAAAUGAUGGGAAAAUAGAUUAAGAAAAGCAAUUAAAAAUAAACAUAGAGGAUGAAUGAUGUUGUCCAAUGUACUUAAUUUCUCUUAUAAAAUAUAAGACAACUAUAUAUAUUUCUCGACCAUAUGAGACGACCAUAUGAGAGAGCAUCAAAUUCGAAUAAACUAACAAAGCUCUUAAUUCUAAGUUGGUAAUUUCAUUGUUGUCGGUGUCAACUUGAUGACAUUAUGCAAUAUCAAUUUAAUUCAAUGGGCAAUUUAAUUUUGCAGAUUAAAAAGAAUUUAAGAAUACUGAAAGUUACUAAUCCCCAUCACAACAUCCCAUCAGUAAAUAACCAAAACCAAAUGUAAAUUGUAGUUUUUUAUAGAGCAUAUCCAAAAGUAUAUCCCAUCUCUCUGAGCAUCCAAACAGAGCAUACCCAAAAUACCAAAAAAGAUUAAAAUUUGGAUUUAGCACCUAUUGAAAGUUUUAAAAAAUAAAAACUACAGAAAUAACAAUACGGAAAGAGCAACAAAAUACAACCAUAGAAGAACGAUCAGAGUCCAAGGUGUGAUUCGGACUCGAAGCUUCUUGAAAGAUUUUUCUGAGCUGUAUGAAUAUUAGUUACAUGGAAUCCAGAUUUUUCAAUGGGUGUAUUUUGAACCCAGAAAAAUCUCAUUUCCUGUUUCUGAAAAUUACACACAGAUUGAACACAGAAAAUCCCAAGAGAUUUUUCCUGUUUCUCAGUUUUAUCAAAACCCGCAAUAGAUAGCAAAUUACAUGUAGGGAUCCCAAACUGUACAUGGAACCCAGAUGUAGCUUUAAACCUAUAUAUUUCUGGGAACUAUAUAUGGAAUCCAGAUAUUUCUGCUUCAUAAAAAAAAUUAAUAUAAGAAUUUCUAAAAUCGUCGCCGUACGCCACUUUGUAUUGAGUGAGUAACAGAGAUAAAAGUGAGAGGAAAAAGAGAGAAGGGAGAAAGAAGAGUUGAGGAGGGUUUGGUCAUGGUUGGCUUGUGAUUUUAGAGUUUUAAGGUUGCAGUGAGAAAGCGAAGAGCGAGAGUGAAGAAAGGGGGGAAGCACUCUGUAUAAAUGAAAUUGAGUCGGUGAAGACCCAUGCGUCAUCAUUUUCUAAUUGAACAUCUAAUUGAAUAUUAACCAUGUAGUUUGAAUUGAAUAUGUGAUUGAAUAUUAGAUAUUUAGUUUGAAUUGAUUUGGAUAUGUGGUUUAUUGAAUUGGAAUCCUUUUAAAUUUUAUUAUGAAUAAGUGAACACAGUUAUAAGUAUCAACCAUUUAUCCUCAUUCAUAUUCAAAUAUAAUAUGGAUAAGUGAACACAAUUAUGAGUAUCAACGCAUGCCUGAAUAGCGUCCAUAAUGGCUGCCUUUGUUACAUUAUGAUUUAUGUUUUUGCUAUAGUGUCGAAGAUGUCCGGUCUCAGAAAAAGUGAAUAGCCAUGCUCUCCGUCAUCGAAUACUGCACACCAUGCUGCAUAUUUUUUUGUUUGAACAUCUAUGCUUGACGACUUACCUGCUUAAACACCGCUUUUUCUGUGGUUUGCUAAUUCCUACGUGAGGUAUGUAGGCUGCAGGGCAUAUAUUUUGCGGUCUUAACUACAGGGGCAAAAUAUGUGUAAACUGCAGCUUGCUUCUGUUUCUUCAGUUUUGUAUGGAAACAGACCUUCUGCUUAUUUUUGCAUUUGAACAGUUGUGGUUACAAAAUUAGCUACUUGAACAAGUCCUCAACACUUUCUGUUUUCAAUUACCAGUUGAAAUGGUUGCCUACAUUGCAGGACUGUGAACUAUAUGUUUGUUCUGUUUCUAAAGGAAACAGAACUUUUUGGGUAACCAUCUCUUUCUAAUCAAAGACAUUCAGUUUCUUCCUACUCAUUGUACAAUGUAUUUAUAUGGUAGCUCACCUGAAUAUAUAUAAAAACAAAAUUGAUUAUCUUAUCAACCUCAUUCAUUCAUUUAUCCCUUUGUUUGUUCAUAAUUGUGUUGAAUUUAUUCAACUUAAAUGUGUUUUAUUCAUUCGAUUACGCUUGAAACAACUAGUUCCCGCGGAAAUGCACGGGCCUAAUAUCUAGUAUAUACUAAACAUGAGUUUCCCCCGGCACUGUAGAUCACCAGUGUCCGGACGGAACUGCCCUCGCUUCUCUGUUUUCUUUCCGUUUGUGUCCCUGUUUUCCACGCGUUGCUCAUCUUUUUCUCUCGACUUUGAGAGUCUUCUUAACGAGUUAGGGUUUUGUUCCUUCGUUGCUUUUCCUGAUUUCGGCUUUUGCUCUUUUCGUUUUGGCCGUUCUUUCUUCCAAUCCUCUGUUUCCCUGCGAUAUCCGUCCUUUCUUUCGCGGAAAGGGUUGCUGAUUUUCGUGGUUUAAGGGAUUUUGUGGUUGCCGAGCCGUAGUGCGUCUAUUUAGAUUUGGGAUUUUUUGCUUUCCGAGGGUUUCGACAUCUCUAAUUGGGGUAAAGGAUUCCUGUUGUUUCCCCUUUUUCCGUUUGGGAUUUCUGGGUUGUGGCUGGGUUUUAGGCCGAUUUACACCUCUUUUAUAAUCAUUUUCUUUUGGUUUUUAUUUUUGGUUUUUCCUUUGUUUUGAUGAAACCUUAAUCGUUUCCUUUUAUUGUCAAUUGUGGUGCUCUCUUGGGUUUUCCCUGUUAAAGGAGAAUUUUGCGUUUUUGUUCUUCAGUUGGCAAAUCUCUGAUUUGCUGCUAUUUGCAACGUUGCCGUAAUUUUUUGGGUUUUUUUGCGCUUCUGCUUUUUUUCCGAUUCGGACAUGGAUUGGUAAUUCUUGGAUUUAAAUGGAUUCGUAGUUUUUGAUGAGAGGAGUUGUUGAGGUUGUGUGAAGGUUUGUUUUUCUGGGUUUUAUGCUGCAGGGGGUUACAAACACGAAGAGGAGGAGAGGAAACAUUAGUUUAGAAUUAUUUGCAUGUGCUUUUUUAAGGUUUUGCUUUUUUCCAGUUUGGAUUAAAAUGGAUUUUGAAUUUUUGAGAAGAAAUUAAAGGGGUCGUUGGAAUUUUGGAAGCCUUUGUGUUAUUGGUGAACACGCAGACAAUCUUGAAAAUUUGUGGUAAAAGACUAAUGUUUGUAUAUAAAAAUUGCAGCCAUGUUGUAAAGAACAAUGGUUCAUUAAGCUAAAUGUCAAUGGACUAAUCCAUGUGUUGACUGUGUUGAAAGGCACAAAUUUUUUUGACAUGUUUGGGUUUCAUCUCAUGUGGAUUAGUGGAAAAACAAAAUGGUAUUGCUCUAACAGAAUGUUGGUCGCUUACAGGUUUGAAGACUAAUGUUUGUACCAUACUUGACCAAUCCCAAAACUAUUGAGCACCGAUCAACGUUAUACAGUUAAGGACCCAGAAGAGUUUCCCUCAAACCAGGAGGCCAAUCACAGCGCGACACGUGUCGACAUCAGAAGCCAAUCAUAGCACGACACGUGUCAACAUCAGAAGCCAAUCAUAACACGACAUGUGUCAAUGUCAGAAUGAAACUAGAAACUCUCUUCUAUAAAUAAAGAUCAUUCUCUCAUAAUAUUUCCUAAUGUCAUUUGUACUAAAUCAUUCACUAGUACUCACAAAAGGAGAGCUUGAACCUAUGUACUUGUGUAAACCCUUCACAAUUAAUGAGAAUUCCUCUACUCCGUGGACGUAGCCAAUCUGGGUGAACCACGUACAUCUUGUGUUUGCUUCCUUGUCUCUAUCCAUUUACAUACUUAUCCACACUAGUGAUCGGAGCAAUCUAGCGAAGGUCACAAACUUAACACUUUCUGCUGUACCAAAGUCCUCACUAAUUUUGUGUAUCAACAACUAAUAUUACGAUAAUAUAUAAACAUAAAGCAACCAGCAUACCAUGGAGGUAAUGUCCUAUGAAAAGGAUAGAAAAUAGAUAUUAGACAGGGAGGAAGAAGAUCAGAAAAGGCAACUGAAACACAACUAUUUAGACAACAUAAAUCCAUUUUCACGAAGCACUUAGCACAUAUGUCGAAAGAUACACCAAUUGACUGAAAUACAAAAAAGGAUAAAGAACUCUAACCUUCCCCGACGACAUAAGAACCCAGUUAAAAGAAAUCUACUUAGCCCUAAAUGAAAUCCUUGUUUUGGGCAAGGUAAUAACAACAAAACCUCUUCAUCCAGCUAGUUUAUGCAUUCAAAGUCGGGAUGAAGAUCACAUACGUACAUACAGAACCAUACAAAAACUUGACCAUGAGAAUUUAGGAAGUACGCAAUGUCCUUAAUGUACUAAGGAUUAAAAGUAGAUACAGAAACCAGUCAUAAACACCAUCAGGAAGCAAUCCACUCAAACAAUGAAAGAUAAUAAAAAUUAACAAUACCUUUUAUUCUAUUACAAAUUGAGCAUCCAACCAGAAACCAAUAGGCAACGGGUGGAGACUCCCAAGAUCAUUCAAACUAUUUAUGUAACGCUUCAAUUCCUGACAUGGGAUUCACACUCUCGAAACAAUACCUGCUCCAAGAAGCAAUAAAAAAGGUCGUACCCAGUGCACAAGGCUCUCGCUUUACGCAGGGUCUGGAAGAGGUGAAUGUCAGCUAGCCUUACCCCCAUUUAUGGAGAGGCUGCUCCCAAAUCUCGAACCCGAGACCUACCACUCAUGGGCGAAGGGAGCAAUAUACUCUCAAAAUUUUCAACUUACUAAUUUUGUAAUAAACACGAAGAAAACUUGUCAUUUUCUCACUAACCCUUUUCUGUUCAUUUUCAUUUUCACUAAAUUCCUAAUUAAGCAAAACUAUAAAUCAAACUGAAAAACUAUAAUCUGCUCCUCUGAAGAAUCCAAAUUUUGCAUCAAGUAUAUGUAUUUACUUUAAUAAUGAGAAAAACAUAAAAAUUAAUACUAAAAACAUGAAUUUUGCUAAGAAAUUAAUAUAAAACCAAUGCAUCUGAGAGAAUUACAAUCAAGUCAAUAGAAAUUAAUGAAUAAAUCUAAAUGAAUUAGAGCUCAAUCCAAUCAGAAAUCCAGCAAAUAAGCAUCGCAAAGAUUAAAUUUAAACCAAAAACAAAUAAAGCCAUACAAAGGUUAAGAAUUUAUAUUCGGAUUGAAGAAAGAGAUUACGUACCGACAUGAAUUCGAUCAAAAGGGAAAGAACUUUUUUAUUUUUCGGGAAAAAUGAAAUGACUCGGAAAGCAGAGAGAGAGACGUUGGGCCAGAAAUGGGCCUAUAAUUGCAUUAUGAAAUCUGGGAAAGAAUAUGAGGCUUUAACGAUUUUUGUUUCGGGAUGAACGGCGUUAUUUUGCUGACGGGAACGAAAAGAUGAUUCGGAUCGCCGUUAAGUCGGCGUCAGCCCUGACGUGGUUUGUGCGUUUGGAAUGAAAUUGAGAGUCAAAUAAAAAAUGGAAAAUUGGACAAUCACCAUCCCACAUAAAAUCCACGAAUAAAAUCGAACCAGUUUUUCACAAAUUCACGUUUUAGUACUGAUGUAUUACUACCCUCAAUUUUCCUUAGAACUCAGUUAAAACGUAUAACCGUCACCAAUUUAUUACAUAUCAAUUAGAUGAAUAAUGCACUUUUUGAAUAAGUAACGAAAGCUUGGUAUAAGGAUUUGAUUGACCAAAAUUUGUUGGCACAUAUUAUCUACUUUCAGGAAGACAAGUUAUGGUAAAGGAAGUCAUUUAGUGGUCAUCAUUUGCAUUUCCAUUUCUUUGUUGAUUGCUUAUUCUCGAUGCAUUAAAUAAAAUGCAUUACUAGCUCAUAAGUCAAAAUUUGCUAAAAUAAAAUAAAACAUUAGGUGAAAGUGGCCUGAUUUACAAAGUUAUAAUACAAAUCAGUGAAAAGGGGCCAAGCAAACAUAGCAAUCGUUUACCAAAAAAAAAAAAGCAAAUAUAGGAAUCCGGGAGAAGAAAUGUUGGCCAAGAAAUAUCCAGGUUGUCAGCCAAUUGAAGACCUCCCAAAGCAGCCACUCCUCAACCCCCAAAACCUUGACCCAACCCAAAAUAUGUGGAUUACUUUACUUUACAAGAAUAAAGAUGAUUAAUUACCCAAAAAAUAAAGAAUAAAGAUGAUUAAUAAUAAUAAUAAUAUUAAUAUUAAAACAUUCCUCGAGAGAUGAUACCUGGACCAUCAGCUUCAUAUCAGUGUGCCAUCUAUCUGUAUGCAAGGGAUGUGGGAUAUUUUGUGCCAGUAGCGUCCUUUUCCUGGUUGGCAUCUCUCUUUUAGCACUGGACACUCAUAGAUCCAAAGUUUCGUAAGUGAAGGAGGCAGACCCUCCUCUGGAAUGGAUGCUAGCUUUGGACAAUAGGAGAGUUUCAAAGAUUGAAGGGAGGGGAGGAAUUGAAAGCCCUUGCUGCUCAGUUUCUUCAGAUUCGGGAAGCCAUCUAUUGAGAGGCUAGUGAGAGAUUUGGGGAAGAGCGUCUCCAUCCGUACCAUGUCGGGUGGAAACGACACCGUAUCCGGGUCUUCACCGAUAAUCUCUAAGCGUCUAAGAGAGGUGAGUCUGUGCAACCCCCACUCCAACUCCCACAAUGACUUACAGCUCUUGACCUCCCAAAUUCGAAGAAAUGUUAGGUUGGGAGGAAAAGUCAAACCUUCACGGUAGUCGAUGAACAAACUCUCAAGAGAGUUGAGAUUGUGCAUGUCUUCGGGCAACGCCUCCAAUUUCUCGCAAUCUCGGAUCAAGAUAUUUCUCAGGUUGGAGGGUCUUCUCCCCCCACUCAGUCUCGGGAUGGAAACAAGACUUCCACAUUUUAUAAUACAUAGCUCUUGAAGAUUGCUGAGGUGGCAUAAGCCAUCCGGUAAGGAUUUCAGAUUUUGGCAGCUACAGAUCCUAAUAUAUUCAAGGCAGUGAUAGGUGUUGUUGCUGAAGAACCCGUUCGGUGCUAUUAAACCCAGUCGUUCACAUUCCUCCUCAUCUACUAGUGAUUUCAAACUUUUGCAAUAUAUUAUCUCUAUUCUUCUGAGAUUUUGGGGAAUCUGGAAUUUUGCAAAAUAUAUCAACGAAUUGCACUCUGCAAUCCAGAUGUCUUUAAGAGAAGGUGGCAGACCAACAUCUGGAAAAGAAACUAGACUUGAACAUUCGUGUAUGCGAAGCUCUUGAAGAGACGACAGCUGAUUUAACCCUUUUGGUAGCUUCAAAAGAUUUUCGCACUUUCUUAACUCUAGAAAUUCAAGCUUGCAAUCCAAUAUUUGCAAUUGCAGCAACUCCUCU
rnacentral:lncRNA from 1 species